rnacentral:rRNA from 1 species
AGACAGCAGUCGCCGCGGUAAUACGGAGGGGGCUAGCGUUGUUCAGAAUUACUGGGCGUAAAGCGCACGUAGGCGGCUUGGUAAGUUAGAGGUGAAAGCCCGGAGCUCAACUCCGGAAUUGCCUUUAAGACUGCCGAGCUAGUAGGUGAGUGAGGUGAGUGGAAUUCCGAGUGUAGAGGUGAAAUUCGUAGAUAUUCGGAAGAACACCAGUGGCGAAGGCGGCUCACUGGCUCAUUCUAGACGCUGAGGUGCGAAAGCGUGGGGAGCAAACAGGAUUAGAUACCCCCGUAGUCCCUGUCUCUUAUAC